GACAGUAUAGCUCAGCAGUAGAGUCCUUGCUUAACAUGCAUGAGGCCCUGGGUUCAAUCCCCAGCACCCCCA
rnacentral:tRNA from 1 species